UACGUAGGGGGCAAGCGUUGUCCGGAUUUAUUGGGCGUAAAGAGCGUGUAGGCGGCCAGGUAGGUCCGCUGUGAAAACUCGAGGCUCAACCUCGAGAUGUCGGCGGAAACCAUCUGGCUAGAGUCCGGAAGAGGAGAGUGGAAUUCCUGGUGUAGCGGUGAAAUGCGCAGAUAUCAGGAAGAACACCAAUGGCGAAGGCAGCACUCUGGGACGUGACUGACGCUGAGACGCGAAAGCGUGGGGAGCAAACAGG
rnacentral:rRNA from 1 species